UACGUAGGAGGCAAGCGUUGUCCGGAAUUACUGGGCGUAAAGCGCGUGUAGGUGGUGGGACAAGUCUGCUGUGAAAGCGCCUGGCUUAACCGGGCGAGGUCGGCGGAAACUGUCCGACUCGAGGACGGUAGAGGGGGUGGAAUUCCCGGUGUAGUGGUGAAAUGCGUAGAGAUCGGGAAGAACACCGGAGGCGAAGGCGGCUUGCUGGGCUUGGUCUGACGCUGAGGCGCGAAAGCGUGGGGAGCGAACAGG
rnacentral:rRNA from 1 species